UUGUGCACUUCCCGCCUGGCUCUCCGGUUCCGGCGCGGCCUCGGCUUCGGCCUCCGCCCGGCUGCGGCCGCCGCGGGUCCCCUCCGGGGUAGCCCCGAGAGCUGUGCUCGCCACGCUUGGCUGCCUGCUUUUCUCUGAUUUUCUUCCGCUUUGGACCCUGCUCUAUUUGCAUUGUCUUUUUUUCACCAAGUCGGAGAACGGUGCCUUGUCAAUUUUCACCUUUCUCACCGGACUUUCUCUUUUCCGGAGAGCCGAGUAUAGCUGCGGACCAACUGUAUAUGAUCAUGCGCACCUUGGCCAUGCUUGCUCAUAUGUUAGAUUUGAUAUCAUUCGAAGGAUCCUAACCAAGGUUUUUGGAUGCAACAUAGUCAUGGUGAUGGGUAUUACGGAUGUAGAUGACAAAAUCAUCAAAAGAGCCAAUGAGAUGAAUAUUUCCCCUGCUUCCCUCGCCAGUCUUUAUGAGGAAGACUUCAAGCAGGACAUGGCAGCCCUGAAGGUUCUCCCACCCACAGUGUACCUGAGGGUAACCGA
rnacentral:sRNA from 1 species